GAUAGACCGUCCUCGCUAGAUUUUACUUCUUGACCUCUCUAUAUAAUCUUAUUUGUUUCAUUCUGUUCUACAUUUUUUCUGUCCAGGGUCACAAGUGUGAAGGACAUUUUGCCAGUGUCCACAAGCUGGUGGGGGCGGCGGUAAUGGUCCGUUGACGUCACAAAUAUGGGGAAGCGGGAAAUUUGUCGAAGGAUUGUCCACGAGAGGGUCGCGGCGGUGGUGGAAGUCGUACCUGCCAUGAGAUAAACAAAAAACUAAAAAAACAUCAUUUUUAGCGCUCAUUUUUAACGAAGAAGAGGGCAAUAUAGCAAGGGAUUUUCCUCAAGGAGGAAGCACUAGUGGCAGCAAUGGUUAUGAUUGUAAUGAAGCUGACCACACCUCGAAAGGCUGCCCGAAUCUCUUCAGUGAAUUGACGGAAGAUGGAAAGGCACAUGAGCAAUACAUUCCAGAAGCUGUGACAUGCGAUGAAAAGGAACUAUUUAAGGGCAUUGUCUAUGUGAGAACGCUUUAACAAUUUUUAUAAAGUCAUCCUCCAUGCUACAGGAAAAGAUGUACUUCAAUACAUAACAUCAUUCGAAGAAGCCGUCCUGCACAACUACUACUUCAAAACAUUAAGAAUUCUGGCUACAUAAAACCAACAUCUGUUCAGAAAGCUUCAGUUGUAGUUAUUCUUGCCAAAAGAGGUUUAAUUGCUUGUGCGGUCACGGGCUCCGGAAAAACGGUAAUCCAACUAAUUAACGGUGUGUAAUUUUGAAACCUUGAUGCCCUCGU